rfam:Caenorhabditis brenneri strain PB2801 C_brenneri-6.0.1_Cont118.13, whole genome shotgun sequence.
GGAGAGAUGGCCGAGCGUAAGCCUUAAGGCACCAGUCCCUUCGGGGGCGUGGGUUCGAAUCCCACUCUCUUCA